CCUACGGGUGGCAGCAGUGGGGAAUAUUGCACAAUGGGGGAAACCCUGACGCAGCGACGCCGCGUGGGGGAUGAAGGUUUUCGGAUUGUAAACCUCUUUCGUCAGAGAAGAUUAUGACGGUAGCUAACGAAUAAGCACCGGCUAACUCCGUGCCAGCAGCCGCGGUAAUACGGAGGGUGCGAGCGUUACCCGGAAUCACUGGGCGUAAAGGGUGCGUAGGCGGGGUGGUAAGUCAGAUGUGAAAUCCUGUGGCUUAACUAGAGAACUGCAUUUGAAACUGGUACUCUGGAGUGUGGGAGAGGUAGGUGGAAUUCUAGGUGUAGGGGUGAAAUCCGUAGAGAUCAAGAGGAAUACUCAUGGCGAAGGCGACCUGCUGGAACAUUACUGACGCUGAGGCACGAAAGCGUGGGGAGCAAACAGGAUUAGAUACCCUAGUAGUC
rnacentral:rRNA from 1 species